CAUAUCGACGAGUUUGAUCCNGGCUCAGACACGCUGGCGGCAGGCCUAACACAUGCAAGUCGAACGCGUCCUUCGGGACGAGUGGCAGACGGGUGAGUAACGCGUGGGAACGUACCCUUUGGUUCGGAACAACUCCGGGAAACUGGAGCUAAUACCGGAUAAGCCCUUCGGGGGAAAGAUUUAUCGCCAGAGGAUCGGCCCGCGUUAGAUUAGCUUGUUGGUGAGGUAAUGGCUCACCAAGGCUACGAUCUAUAGCUGGUCUGAGAGGAUGAUCAGCCACACUGGGACUGAGACACGGCCCAGACUCUUACGGGAGGCAGCAGUGGGGAAUCUUGGACAAUGGGCGAAAGCCUGAUCCAGCCAUGCCGCGUGAAUGAUGAAGGCCCUAGGGUUGUAAAAUUCUUUCGACGGGGAAGAUAAUGACGGUACCCGUAGAAGAAGCUCCGGCUAACUUCGUG
rnacentral:rRNA from 1 species